rnacentral:lncRNA from 1 species
GUGGGGAAAAGGAUGGUGACAGCUCACACUUGGUCCUUCCACAGAUAUUUCAUUCCACAUGCAGUCAUUGGGGCCUACUCCACUUGGGCCAGCUGGGGACACUUCUACGUGCAGAGGGUAUGGCAGGGAGCUUGUGUGAAAGCAGAGGCUGGCAGACAGUAUGCAAAUAAAUACCAAAUAAAUGCCUAUCUACCCAAAGGAACAGGAAGAAACGUCAAGCCAGGGGCAGGGUGGGUGGAGGGGGACAUGCUAGCUUAGGUCAGGGAGAGCUGAACACGGAGUGGGUGAGGACUGGGGAGAAAUUCUCUCCAAGCAGAGGAGAUGGCCAGCCCGACAGAAAAGCAAGAUGAGGUGCCUAAAAGGAAAACCCCUUGCCAAGGUUCACCUAGCUGGUACAUGGAGAGCUGGGAUCUGGAUCCAGGCAGGCUUACCUGUCCUCACCUGAGAAACCAGCCAGGAUGCUCUGAAGUGGACUCGAGCCCAAGUUGGUCUGUGUUCUGGAGAGUACCUGAGCCUGGGGUUCAGGCUCCACCCCGGUGCAGAGCCCCAGGAGGAGCAAGGCACUGGGCCCUCCCUCCCCCCCCCCACUCCCCCAACACCACCACCAGCUCUCUUUGGCCCCAGACAGCAAGUUUUAACUCGAAAAUCAGGAGUUCCCAUCGUGGCACAGCAGAAACGAAUCCAUCUAGGAACCAUGAAGUUUCGGGUUCGAUCCCUGGCCUCCCUCAGUGGAUUAAGGAUUCAGUGUUGCCAUGAGCUGUGGUGUAGGUCGCAGACGGGGCUCGAAUCUGGCACUGGUGCGUCUGUGGCAUAGGCCAGCAGCUACAGCUCUGAUUAGACCCCUAUCCUGGGAACCUCCAUAUGCCGUGGGUGUGGCCNAAAAAAAAAAAAAAAAAAAAAGAAAGAAAGAAAAUCAGAACCCCGAGCAGAGGAGAACUUCAAAGCUUGGUAUGUAGGAUAAUGCUGCCUGCCCUUCCUCCUAGUGUCUGCCAGGCAAACUCCUCUUCAUCCCUCCCGGUCCAGCUCAUGUGGCCCUUCCUGUGCAAAGGCUUUUCUGAUUGUGCUGAGCAGAUGGCUCCCUCCUUCAGCCCCACUUUACCCUCUUCUAGCUGGUGGGGCCGGGUGGAGGUGGGGGCAGGACUUGAACUCAUCUGUUGCCUGGUGGUCCAGGGGGCCCCAUCCACCACUCCUAAACCCCCUUCCCCCACUGCAGCCUGCUCCCCACACCCACUGAGUCAGAGAUCCAGGGAGCCUGGUGACUACAGCUGCCUGGGUAGGGCCUGACCUCCCUGUAAUUAAGGCAGCGGGAGGCUGGGAUCUGGGCUUGCCGUCAUCCAAGGAGGGGCAGUGAAGGGUGACAGAAGGAGCUUCCCCAGGCUAGGCCAACCACGUCAGCAGCCACUGGCUGCUCUGGGAGCAGCUGGGCAGCAGCGGGCGGCUGGGAGGGGCCCAGGUGGGUAUUUCCCUCCCUGCCAGCCCUGGUCUGGGCUCAACCUGCCAGCAUCCCAGCUUGUCUCCCUGUCACCCUUCUCCCUUCUUUUUUUUUUUUUUUUUUUUAGGGCUACACCCACAGCAUAUGGAAGUUCCCAGGCUAGGGGUUGAAUUGGGGCUACAACUGUUUGCCUGCACCACAGCCACAAGCAACGUAGGAUCCGAGCCGCAUCUGUGACCUACACCACAGCUCACUGCAACCCACUGAGCGAGGCCAGGGAUCAAACCCGAAACCUCACGGUUCCCAGUCGGAUUCGUUUCCGCU